AUUGAACGCUGGCGGCAUGCUCAACACAUGCAAGUCGAACGGUAACAGGACGCUAGGAUCCCUUCGGGGUGACUUUGUCGCUGACGAGUGGCGGACGGGUGAGUAAUACAUAGGAAUCUACCCAGUAGUGGGGGAUAACUUGGAGAAAUCCAUGCUAAUACCGCAUAUGUCCUACGGGGCAAAGCAGGGGACCCUCGGGCCUUGCGCUAUUGGAUGAGCCUAUGUCGGAUUAGCUAGUUGGUGGGGUAAUGGCCUACCAAGGCAGCGAUCCGUAGCUGGUCUGAGAGGAUGAUCAGCCACACUGGGACUGAGACACGGCCCAG
rnacentral:rRNA from 1 species